rnacentral:rRNA from 1 species
UACUAGAGUAGCACUCGCAUAUCAAUAAGCGGAGGAAAAGAAACUAACAAGGAUUCCCCUAGUAACGGCGAGUGAAGCGGGAAGAGCUCAAAUUUGAAAUCUUAAAGGGUUUCCCUUUACGAAUUGUAGUUUAAAGAAGUGUUUUCUGUUGAGGUUUUGGUAAAAGUUCUUUGGAAUAGGACAUCAUAGAGGGUGAGAAUCCCGUAUUUGACCUUUACUUUCAACUUUGUGAUACACUUUCAAAGAGUCGGAUUGUUUGGGAAUGCAGUCCAAAAUGGGUGGUAAAUUUCAUCUAAAGCUAAAUAUUGGCGAGAGACCGAUAGCGAACAAGUACCGUGAGGGAAAGAUGAAAAGAACUUUGAAAAGAGAGUUAAACAGUACGUGAAAUUGUCAAAAGGGAAGCGUUUGACACCAGUGUUGUUUUUCUGAAAAUCAAUUAAAGAACUGUUUAUGCUAAGUUGUUUAGACUUUAUCAGCUAAUCUGCUUAGUUUUAGGCUUUUCUUUAAUGCACUUUUCAGUUAACAAGUCAACAUCAAUUUCUUUUGCUGUAAAAAAGCUUGAGGAAGGUGGCUUGAGAUUCGUCUUAAGUGUUUAUAGCCUCUUGCCUAUGCAGUCGGAGAGAUUGAGGUCUGCAGCGUAGAUCCUUCGGGGCUAAAUGCAUUUGUGCUAAGUUAUAGCAUUUUAUAGACAACUUGUUGACUAUGAUUUGUCUUGUAGCUUACUCGCUUAUGUUAUUUUACCUACGCUUAGGAUGUUGAACUACUGAGACAUAG